rnacentral:rRNA from 1 species
CCUACGGGUGGCUGCAGUGGGGAAUAUUGGACAAUGGGCGAAAACCUGAUCCAGCCAUGCCGCGUGUGUGAAGAAGGCCUUCGGGUUGUAAAGCACUUUCAGUGGGGAAGAAAGCCUUGGGGCUAAUACCCUCGAGGAAGGACAUCACCCACAGAAGAAGCACCGGCUAACUCCGUGCCAGCAGCCGCGGUAAUACGGAGGGUGCGAGCGUUAAUCGGAAUUACUGGGCGUAAAGCGCGCGUAGGCGGUCUGAUAAGCCGGUUGUGAAAGCCCCGGGCUCAACCUGGGAACGGCAUCCGGAACUGUCAGGCUAGAGUGCAGGAGAGGAAGGUAGAAUUCCCGGUGUAGCGGUGAAAUGCGUAGAGAUCGGGAGGAAUACCAGUGGCGAAGGCGGCCUUCUGGACUGACACUGACGCUGAGGUGCGAAAGCGUGGGUAGCAAACAGGAUUAGAUACCCGAGUAGUC